UCGCACGGCGGAGUGUUUAUGGGC
rnacentral:piRNA from 1 species